rnacentral:rRNA from 1 species
AUUGAACGCUGGCGGCAGGCCUAACACAUGCAAGUCGAACGAGUGGCGGACGGGUGAGUGAUGUCUGUGGAACUGCGCGAUGGGGGGGGGUAACUCCUGGAAACGGUGGAUCAAACCGCGUACGACCGGAUGUGCCCAGAUGGGAUUAGCUUGUAGGUGAGGGAACGGCUCACAUAGGCGACGAUCCCUAGCUGGUCUGAGAGGAUGACCAGCCACCCUGGAACGGAGACACGGUCCAGACUCCUACGGGAGGCAGCAGUGGGGAAUAUUGCACAAUGGGCGCAAGCCUGAUGCAGCCAUGCCGCGUGUAUGAAGAAGGCCUUCGGGUUGUAAAGUACUUUCAGCGGGGAGGCGUUACCCGCAGAAGAAGCACCGGCUAACUCCGUGCCAGCAGCCGCGGUAAUAC